rnacentral:rRNA from 1 species
UACGGAGGAUGCGAGCGUUAUCCGGAUUUAUUGGGUUUAAAGGGUGCGUAGGCGGGAUGCCAAGUCAGCGGUAAAAAUGCGGUGCUCAACGCCGUCGAGCCGUUGAAACUGGCGUUCUUGAGUGGGCGAGAAGUAUGCGGAAUGCGUGGUGUAGCGGUGAAAUGCAUAGAUAUCACGCAGAACUCCGAUUGCGAAGGCAGCAUACCGGCGCCCUACUGACGCUGAGGCACGAAAGCGAGGGUAUCGAACAGG